UGCAUUUUGCAACCGCCGAUGUGACAAAGUCGUCGGAGAAGAAGCGAUGGAGAAGACUUAGAUGUUACGGUUGCUGCCACGUGGUCUCACACUCAUGUCCACAAAUGUUGGACUAUAUUGGCUCACUUUUCAAUGGAGUCUUACUCAACAAGUAUCUCGAUUGUGUUAUAAACUGUACGGCCCAUGGUCUGUGAGGAUGAUAUUGAUGAAUAACGCAGGGAAUUGAUGAACAAUGUCA